rnacentral:lncRNA from 1 species
GCGGCAAGGAAAGAGAGCUCGCCUCGGCGAGAUCCAAAGCGCAAGAAAACAGCGGCUAGGGCACGGUUUGGCAACUAGAAGCAAAUAGGGGGGUCGCGGGGGUUGAUUUGGGAGCUUUAUAGGUCUCGGUUCGCUUCCUUGGCAAGGAAAUCCCGAGAUUUUGGGAUUGAGAUACGGCGUGGCUGUGCCCGGCUCGGUUACGAGCAGAGGAAGGAGAAGGCGCUGUCCCGCGGUGGGUCCCACCCGUCAGCGAGAGGAAGGGGCGGUCCCAGCUGUCAGCGGGUCAAAGGAAAUGGAAGGGGAGGGAGGCGUGCGUCUGGGCUAGAGAGGGAAGUGGGCCGCGGGGUUGCUGGGCCAAGACAAGGAAGGGGGGGAAGGGAGAGUUGGCGCGGGGCUGGGGUGGGCCUUCGGCCAGAAAUAUGGAGAGGGAGAGGUUUUCUUCUUUUUUUUCUUUUAUUCCAAAAGCCAUUUCAAGUCCCUUUUUAAAAUCAGUUUUGAAAUACUUUUGAACUUUACUCAAAGUCACACAGUACAAAAAUACAAAUGCUCCAGCAUGAGUGCACAUACUUGUUACUAAACCCUAUGAUAAGUUUUAAUUUAAUGAAAAAUAUUAUUCCCCUAUGUUUCAUGAGCAGAAAAAUUCAUAAAUAAAUCAUUUUUCACCUAUUUUUAAAAUGAGCAAAAUUUUGGGUGUUACAAGCUCUCACCAGGCCUAUGACAUGUAGGAGAACCGUGUUUGGUUGCUUGGGUUGUGGUGGCUCCACGCCUGCAGAUGCAGCUCCAUGGCUUAGCUUGAGGGCCACGCAGGAUUUGGACGUCACUGCUGAGCCUGGCUCAAUUGGGCUAGCGCGUAACUAGGGAUGAAAACGGAUCGGAUAUGAACGGAUAUCACUGAUAUCAUAUUUGUUUUCAUAUUUCUGGUC